UGUUCAGAUUAUUCUAUCAAAUGUGAUGUUUGUUUAUUUAAAAUGGUUUGAAUUAAGCAUACAUUAUCUUGUAAUUUAGAGAUUUCAGUGAUGCUAUUUUUUAGUUUUAGAAUGACAUGGUAGGGUUGAGGUGAGAGGUGAGAGCUGGUCAUUUUCAAUAUAAAACAGGUUAAAUAUGUUGGCCGGAUAUGGCCGGUUUGAAUGCUAAAGGGGUAAGAAAUUUAUCUACUG